rnacentral:rRNA from 1 species
GAUGAACGCUGGCGGCGUACUUAACACAUGCAAGUCGAACGAUGAACCGGAGCUUGCUCUGGGGAUUAGUGGCGAACGGGUGAGUAACACGUGGGCAACCUGCCCCAGACACCGGGAUAACCAUUCGAAAGGAUGGCUAAUACCGGAUACGACCACUUCGGGCAUCCGAUGGUGGUGGAAAGGAUUCUGGUCUGGGAUGGGCCCGCGGCCUAUCAGCUUGUUGGUGGGGUAAUGGCCUACCAAGGCGACGACGGGUAGCCGGCCUGAGAGGGCGACCGGCCACACUGGGACUGAGACACGGCCCAGACUCCUACGGGAGGCAGCAGUGGGGAAUAUUGCGCAAUGGGCGAAAGCCUGACGCAGCGACGCCGCGUGAGGGACGAAGGUCUUCGGAUUGUAAACCUCUUUCAGCAGGGAUGAAGCGGAAGUGACAGUACCUGCAGAAGAAGCACCGGCUAACUACGUGCCAGCAGCCGCCGUAAUAC